CGCUUACACAUGCAAGUCGAGCGGAAAGGCCCCUUCGGGGGUACUCGAGCGGCGAACGGGUGAGUAACACGUGAGCAACCUGCCCCUGACUCUGGGAUAAGCCCGGGAAACUGGGUCUAAUACCGGAUAUAACCACUGGUCUCAUGAUCGGGUGGUGGAAAGUUUUUCGGUUCUCUUUCAGCAGGGACGAAGCUAACGUGACGGUACCUGCAGAAGAAGCGCCGGCUAACUACGUGCCAGCAGCCGCGGUAAUACGUAGGGCGCAAGCGUUGUCCGGAAUUAUUGGGCGUAAAGAGCUCGUAGGCGGUUUGUCGCGUCUGUCGUGAAAGCCCACGGCUUAACCGUGGGUCUGCGGUGGAUACGGGCAGACUAGAGGCAGGUAGGGGAGAAUGGAAUUCCCGGUGUAGCGGUGAAAUGCGCAGAUAUCGGGAGGAACACCGGUGGCGAAGGCGGUUCUCUGGGCCUGUACUGACGCUGAGGAGCGAAAGCGUGGGGAGCGAACAGGAUUAGAUACCCUGGUAGUCCACGCCGUAAACGUUGGGCGCUAGGUGUGGGGUCCUUCCACGGAUUCCGCGCCGCAGCUAACGCAUUAAGCGCCCCGCCUGGGGAGUACGGCCGCAAGGCUAAAACUCAAAGGAAUUGACGGGGGCCCGCACAAGCGGCGGAGCAUGUUGCUUAAUUCGACGCAACGCGAAGAACCUUACCAAGGCUUGACAUCGCCGGAAAACCAUCAGAGAUGGUGGGUCCUUUUGGGCCGGUGACAGGUGGUGCAUGGCUGUCGUCAGCUCGUGUCGUGAGAUGUUGGGUUAAGUCCCGCAACGAGCGCAACCCUCGUUCCAUGUUGCCAGCACUUCGGGUGGGGACUCAUGGGAGACCGCCGGGGUCAACUCGGAGGAAGGUGGGGAUGACGUCAAGUCAUCAUGCCCCUUAUGUCUUGGGCUGCAAACAUGCUACAAUGGCCGGUACAGAGGGCUGCGAUACCGUGAGGUGGAGCGAAUCCCUUAAAGCCGGUCUCAGUUCGGAUCGAAGUCUGCAACUCGACUUCGUGAAGUCGGAGUCGCUAGUAAUCGCAGAUCAGCAACGCUGCGGUGAAUACGUUCCCGGGCCUUGUACACACCGCCCGUCACGUCACGAAAGUCGGCAACACCCGAAGCCCGUGGCCCAACCACCUUGUGUGGGGGGAGCGGUCGAAGUG
rnacentral:rRNA from 1 species